AGGUGAUAAGACCUCAGUUGGUAGAGCGCUUCGUUUACACCGAAGAUGUCGGCGGUUCGAGCCCGUCAUCGCCCACCA
rnacentral:tRNA from 2 species